UACGGGGGGUGCAAGCGUUGUUCGGAAUCAUUGGGCGUAAAGGGCGUGUAGGCGGCUGGAUAAGUCAGAUGUGAAAGCCCCGGGCUUAACCCGGGAAGUGCAUUUGAAACUGUCCGGCUUGAGUAGGGGAGAGGAAAGUGGAAUUCCUGGUGUAGAGGUGAAAUUCGUAGAUAUCAGGAGGAACACCGGUGGCGAAGGCGACUUUCUGGCCCUAUACUGACGCUGAGACGCGAAAGCGUGGGGAGCAAACAGG
rnacentral:rRNA from 1 species